ACACCAUCCUUCCUAACCCUUUGCAGAACUACUUCAGCACCUAAGUCUGGCAGAAGAUCACUCCUCCGCCCUGGCCACUGAUUAAAAAGCCAAAACAAAACCAGACACCCAUUUCUGCCAGCUUGAAUCUGCUUCACAGAGGACCUUAUGAAGGCUGUGCAAGGGAGGACAUAGAACUGUGAAGGUUUUUCAAUACAGUGUCCACACUGGCUUCAUAUGUGAUAAGGAGACAAGCAAACAGUGGAGAACAGCAGUAGAUAUGAUGCAGAUAAGCAAGAAAGAAAAAUUAAGGACAAAAAGAUGGAGCAGUUUCUAAAAAAACAGAUGGUACACUUGGAAAUAAUACCAUAAAGGCACAUUAUUUUAAACAACUAUUGAUUACACCCUGGGGAUUUGCACCAGUUCCACUCGAUACUGCUUUUAAAAUGAGACUGACAGCAUCAGGAAACACAACACUAAUGAAAUCCAUGACACAGACUGUGAGCAGAUGUCAUGACAAGAUGAGAACAGAGCAAAGCAAAGUGACCACAAACAGUGAUAGCAUGUGAGGAUGAACCAAGCAUCACUAAGAAUAAAGAACAAUGAAAGAGUGAAAUUGCUCUAUUU
rnacentral:lncRNA from 1 species